rnacentral:rRNA from 1 species
AUUGAACGCUGGCUUUAGGCCUAACACAUGCAAGUCGAACGGCAGCACAGUAAGAGCUUGCUCUUACGGGUGGCGAGUGGCGGACGGGUGAGGAAUACAUCGGAAUCUACUUUUUCGUGGGGGAUAACGUAGGGAAACUUACGCUAAUACCGCAUACGACCUACGGGUGAAAGCAGGGGAUCUUCGGACCUUGCGCGAUUGAAUGAGCCGAUGUCGGAUUAGCUAGUUGGCGGGGUAAAGGCCCACCAAGGCGACGAUCCGUAGCUGGUCUGAGAGGAUGAUCAGCCACACUGGAACUGAGACACGGUCCAGACUCCUACGGGAGGCAGCAGUGGGGAAUAUUGGACAAUGGGCGCAAGCCUGAUCCAGCCAUACCGCGUGGGUGAAGAAGGCCUUCGGGUUGUAAAGCCCUUUUGUUGGGAAAGAAAAGCAGCAGGUUAAUACCCCGCUGUUCUGACGGUACCCAAAGAAUAAGCACCGGCUAACUUCGUG